UAGUCCACGCCCUAAACGAUGCUAACUCGAUAUUUGGGUCUUGAACCUGAGUGUCUAAGCGAAAGCGAUAAGUUAGCCACCUGGGGAGUACGUUCGCAAGAAUGAAACUCAAAGGAAUUGACGGGGGUCCGCACGAGCGGUGGAGGAUGUGGCUUAAUUCGAGGAUACGCGAAGAACCUUACCUAGGCUUAACAUGCUUGAGAACGUCUGUGAAAGCAGAAAGUGCCCUUCGGGGAACUCUUGCGUAGGUGCUGCAUGGCUGUCGUCAGCUCGUGUCGUGAGAUGUCGGGUUAAGUCCCUUAACGAGCGAAACCCUUAUCUUCAGUUGCCAGCGAGUAAUGUCGGGGACUCUGGAGAGACUGCCGGUGUUAAACCGGAGGAAGGUGGGGAUGACGUCAAGUCCUCAUGGCCUUUAUGCCUAGGGCUGCACACGUCCUACAAUGCAACGCACAAAGUGAUGCUAACUCGCGAGAGUACGCAAACCACAUAAAUCGUUGCUCAGUUC
rnacentral:rRNA from 1 species